rnacentral:lncRNA from 1 species
CUAGGAGUUGGGUCAAGGGUGCUAUUCUUGCCUCUGGUACAGGACAGACUGCCCACUUGACAGCUGAUAGGAAGGAGUUACCCCAACUGGUAGAACGUGAACUCCUUAGGAUCCAAGAUAUCCCAGAUAUGGUGGAGGGAGUGGAAAGGGAUGGAUAUCUAACCUCUCUUCUCUUUCUCACAGGGUAGCAUGUGUGAAUCCUGAUUCACCAGAUUCAUUGAUAAUGCAUAUCAUAGGCAGUUGCCACUGUUCUGAGUUUGAUGAAUUGUUGGAUAUGUCACCCACCCCCUGAUCUUACAGAUAAACAUCUGAUUGCUGUGCUACUGAAUACCACAAAUGGACAUUUCUUUAAGUGUGGACAUUUCUGGUACCUUAAGUACUCAACAUUAUUAAUCUAGAUCUGAUACAUUGCUGCACUUGGACCCUGACACUGCAGAGUGAAAUGCCUCCCUAAACGUCAACUCUCUCCUGUCAAAGUUGGGGGCAACUGGAACAUUUGUAGAAGCCAUUUUGUAAAGACCAUUGUAAGGCUAUUUUGGACAUGACGAUGGGGCCCUCUCCUCCCCUACACUCACCUCCAUCAUUACUCGGGGAAGUUGCCAGCCCCAGAGCUUGUGCCAUAGUUGAAUGAAAUACCAGGAAGGAGUGUGAUGUAAGGAG